CAGGACGAACGCUGGCGGCAUGCCUAACACAUGCAAGUCGAACGGGGGUAGCAAUACCCUAGUGGCGAACGGGUGAGUAACACAUAAGCAAUCUGCCCUUCACAGGGGGAUAACAGCGGGAAACUGCUGCUAAUACCGCAUAAGACCACAGUACCGCAUGGUACAGGGGUAAAAACGAAUCAGUGGUGAAGGAUGAGCUUAUGUCCCAUUAGCUAGUUGGUGAGAUAACAGCCCACCAAGGCGACGAUGGGUAGCCGACCUGAGAGGGUGAUCGGCCACACUGGAACUGAGACACGGUCCAGACUCCUACGGGAGGCAGCAGUGGGGAAUAUUGGGCAAUGGAGGAAAAACCUCUUACCCAGCAAUGCCGCGUGAGUGAAGAAGGUCUUCGGAUUGUAAAGCUCUUUGAUUGGGGACGAAGAAAGUGACGGUACCCAAAGAACAAGCCCCGGCUAACUACGUGCCAGCAGCGGC
rnacentral:rRNA from 1 species